UCCGGCAUGGUGUAGUGGCAACACACCCAUGAAUCGUUCCGAAGUGCAACAAAAAUGAAUGGGAGUCUGGAGUUCGAUUCUCCGUGUCUGAU